CUGGCGUCACGUCUCACCGGGUUGAGCCAUCGACGACACCACGCAGUGACUCGCAGCAGCCGUUGCAGCGUCGGGAACCGCAGAAGAAGGUCCGGUUCGGUAAUGACUGGCGCCUUGACUACCAGGCUGGUGACUCGUUGCUCAGGGAGGUCAUCCUCUGGGACGUCGAUGUCUGCACCAGGCCAGGCAGCCUCGUCUCCUGACAGCCAGGGUUUUCUCGUCCGGCGACGUGUCUCCAAUGAGCGUCUGGAAGCAGGGUCUGGAUCUGCGACACUCGGUUGGCAACAAAGGUCUUCCAGCGGGUGCAGUGUCCGCGAAUCCAGUGAAGAGUGACCUUGGAGUCGGACCACAGGUGCACCGGCGUAGCAGCCAAGCCGAGGGUAGUGCGUACAUGCAACAUGAGCGUGCGUUGCGGAUGUAUACGACGGCGGCGUAUCCUCGCUCCGAUGCAUCGGCAAACCCAUGGAGCUGCAGUUGCGACUGGUCAUCUCCGGUGCUGAGCCAACGAUCCACACGGAUGUGAUCCAGCAACGGAAGUUGAUUCAGCAGUUGUCUCCAGCGGUGUGCGUCCUGAUCAGGCAGCGGAGAGUCCCAAUCCAGCCGUUGAAGCCACGUAGACUGGAUCAGAAUUUUGGCUCGGAUGACGACAGGCGCUAGCCAGCCCAUCGGAUCGAAUAGUCGAGCUGUCUCGGCCAAGACUCG